GGAAUUCCUGGCAGGGAAGACACCAUGAUCAGGCAGGUGGUUUUCCCAGGGCAAGGCUCAUCCCCUGCACUCUGGCUGUGCAGACCCCUGCGAUUUCCCCAAAUGCGGGAAACUCGACUGCAUAAUUUGUGGUUCUGUGAUUCCCGUAGGAACAUU
rnacentral:snRNA from 1 species